CUUUAAAUAAGCUAAGUAUAAGCUACUGGGCUCAUAACCCAGAAAUGAUGAUAUGUCUUUAAAGGCCA
rnacentral:tRNA from 1 species